AUAUAGAGUUUAAAAAAAUAUAAAAAACAAUUCCGUCAUAUUUUGUGAUUCGAAAUUUUAAAAAUGAACAUAUAUUAACCAAUUGACGAAAAAUGUGUGGGUUCAACAUCUCGCAUAGACUAAAAUAUUUAGACAAUGAUUCAUAAACAUAUCAUAAAUAAGAUUAACAUUAAUAAAAUAAAUGGUUUUUUUGGCAGGACGGGUUUUGCGGAACGGGUUUAGCAGAACGUUACUUAAUAACAGUUGUAAACUAUAAAAUAAAAAUAUUUUAUAAAUAAAUACAAUUUGUAAAUUUUUAUAUAUACUAACUUUAAAAAAUAAAUUAUACUCGCGGUACAAUACCGCGGGUUAAAAUCUAGUAAACAGUACUUUUGCACA
rnacentral:sRNA from 1 species